GAUGAACGCUGGCGGCGUGCCUAAUACAUGCAAGUCGAGCGAACAGACGAGGAGCUUGCUCCUCUGACGUUAGCGGCGGACGGGUGAGUAACACGUGGAUAACCUACCUAUAAGACUGGGAUAACUUCGGGAAACCGGAGCUAAUACCGGAUAAUAUAUUGAACCGCAUGGUUCAAUAGUGAAAGACGGUUUUGCUGUCACUUAUAGAUGGAUCCGCGCCGCAUUAGCUAGUUGGUAAGGUAACGGCUUACCAAGGCAACGAUGCGUAGCCGACCUGAGAGGGUGAUCGGCCACACUGGAACUGAGACACGGUCCAGACUCCUACGGGAGGCAGCAGUAGGGAAUCUUCCGCAAUGGUCGAAAGCCUGACGGAGCAACGCCGCGUGAAUGAUGAAGGUCUUCGGAUCGUAAAACUCUGUUAUUAGGGAAGAACAAAUGUGUAAGUAACUAUGCACGUCUUGACGGUACCUAAUCAGAAAGCCACGGCUAACUACGUG
rnacentral:rRNA from 1 species